UACAGAGGGUGCGAGCGUUGUCCGGAAUCACUGGGCGUAAAGGGCGCGUAGGCGGCCUGAUAAGUAGGGGGUGAAAUCCUGUGGCUUAACUGCAGGGCUGCCUCCUAGACUGUUAGGCUCGAGCACGGUAGAGGCAGAUGGAAUUCCAGGUGUAGCGGUGAAAUGCGUAGAUAUCUGGAGGAACACCGGUGGCGAAGGCGGCAUCCUGGACCGAUACUGACGCUGAGGAGCGAAAGCCAGGGGAGCAAAGCGGG
rnacentral:rRNA from 1 species